AGUGAACGCUGGCGGUAGGCCUAACACAUGCAAGUCGAACGGCAGCACAGUAAGAGCUUGCUCUUACGGGUGGCGAGUGGCGGACGGGUGAGGAAUACAUCGGAAUCUACUUUUUCGUGGGGGUUAACGUAGGGAAACUUACGCUAAUACCGCAUACGACCUACGGGUGAAAGCAGGGGAUCUUCUGACCUUGCGCGAUUGAAUGAGCCGAUGUCGGUGUAGCUAGUUGGCGGGGUAAAGGCCCACCAAGGCGACGAUCGGUAGCUGGUCUGAGAGGAUGGUCAGCGACCUGGGAGGUGAGACAGGGUCCAGAGUCCUGAGGGAGGGAGCAGUGGGGAAUAGGGGACAACGGGCGGGAGCCUGAUCCAACGAUAGCGAGUGGGAGACGGAAGCCUUCGGGCUGUGAAGACGUUUUGUUGGGAAAGAAAAGCAGCAGGUUGAUACGCCGCUGUUGUGACGGUAACGAAAGAAUAAGCACCGGCUAACUACGUG
rnacentral:rRNA from 1 species